rnacentral:ncRNA from 1 species
GAAACAGCUGAGAAGAGAUGAGUAAGGACCGGAAACCUCCUAAGAGAGGCGGGAUAGGUGCAAGCCGCCGUGGUGAAAGGUCCUGAAGAUGGUCUUGGAGCAAUCCGGCUCCGCAAACGAUGGUGAGCGGACCGCGGCUGACGCCCGAUAUUGCGUCUGGGUAUUCCUUGGAGUACCCACUGAGGACCCGAUCGCGAGGUGGGGUCAAAUAAGGGUGGUAACACGAUCAAGCGUCCCUGAA